ensembl:lncRNA
GUGGUGCAGAAUGACCUAGAGGUGGAGUAGUUGACUGCUAAGAGACUGGGUGUAGAGAAGAUGCUUCUGGCCGCACCUGAAUGAGGGCAAAGCCAGACGACAAGAUAACAAACAGCCCCAGUUUGUGCUGUGACUCAGCCCCCACCAGCUGGAUUGCAGCAACCCCAGCUCCUUGCCUGCCUCUGACUCAGAUGAAGGACAUCCUUGUCCCGUGGAACAUCUGGCUCCCAGGUCCUGAGCCUCGGCAGAGGGAUGGUGGUUCCUCUCAUUACCAGUUUUUCACCGUGGUCUCAGCAGUUCCUUUGCGGCAGGCAGCCUGCUUGCUGUUUCUAGAACUGAGCCAAACCCAGCCCCCUCCGACCCGGCCUCCUUACCUCUUUGCUUCCCCACUGGCUGCAUGAGGAGCCCACGCAGGGAAGGAAGAAUGCCCAAGUGACGAGCCAGGUCAUACCCCAUCACAGGCUGGCUAGAUUGCUGUAUAUGGUUUUAAGUCCCCUGCAGACCAAGGCCAAGAAACGAGGUCCAGCCUCCUCUGCCCUUCUCAGGUCACACGAGGGACAAGCCCACAGGGCAUCCAUCGCAGCCCCUCUUGCUUUGGCAGUGGCCACCUUUACCCCUCCCAGGCCCUGUCCCCAGAGC